UGGAUGCGCAGGGAUUUGAACCCUGGGCCUUUUCGAAUCACGAAUGAAAGGCAUGCAAACGAAAUGUGAUACCCCUACACCACGCACCC
rnacentral:tRNA from 1 species